CACGUGGACAAUCUAACCUAAGGUGGGGGAUAACCCCGGGAAACUGGGGAUAAUACCCCAUAGACUAUGGGUGCUGGAAUGCUCUGUAGUUGAAAGGUCCGCCGCCAUAGGAUGAGUCUGCGGCCGAUUAGGUUGUUGUUGGGGUAACGGCCCAACAAGCCUGUAAUCGGUACGGGUUGUGGGAGCAAGAGCCCGGAGAUGGAUUCUGAGACACGAAUCCAGGCCCUACGGGGCGCAGCAGGCGCGAAAACUUUACAAUGCGGGAAACCGUGAUAAGGGAACUCCGAGUGCCCGUAAAAUCGGGCUGUCCACCAGUGCAAAUAACUGGUGAAGAAAGGGCCGGGCAAGACCGGUGCCAGCCGCCGCGGUAAUACCGGCGGCUCGAGUGGUGGCCACUAUUACUGGGCUUAAAGCGUUCGUAGCUGGUCUGUUAAGUCUCUGGGGAAAUCUACUGGCUUAACCAAUAGGCAUCUCAGGGAUACUGGCAGACUAGGGACCGGGAGAGGUGAGGGGUACUCCAGGGGUAGGAGUGAAAUCCUGUAAUCCUUGG
rnacentral:rRNA from 1 species